rnacentral:rRNA from 1 species
AACGAACGCUGGCGGCAUGCCUAACACAUGCAAGUCGAACGAGACCUUCGGGUCUAGUGGCGCACGGGUGCGUAACGCGUGGGAACCUGCCCUUAGGUUCGGAAUAACUCCCCGAAAGGGGUGCUAAUACCGGAUAAUGUCUUCGGACCAAAGAUUUAUCGCCUUUGGAGGGGCCCGCGUUGGAUUAGCUUGUUGGUAGGGGAAAAGCCUACCAAGGCGACGAUCGAUAGCUGGUCUGAGAGGAUGAUCAGCCACACUGGGGCGGAGACACGGCCGAGAAUCCUACGGGAGGCAGCAGUGGGUGAUAUUGGAAAAUGGGCGAGAGGCUGAUCCAGCUAGGCCGGGUGAGUGAUGAAGGCCUUAGAGUAGUAAAGCUCUUUUACCCGGGAUGAUAAUGACGGUACCGGGAGAAUAAGCACCGGCUAACUCCGUG